GUUACUAUGGCUGAUAAGAAUAAUGUCUAUUUGGGACAAUAACAACUUGUGACCAAAUUAUUCAUCACUUUUCAAUUUACAGGCUACAUACAUACUCCGAUCAAUUUCUGCCGGAACUAGGGUUCCGCCGGCCGGAGAAUUUCCAGUUCCGGAUCUGUCUAAUUGAAGUUGUAGAUCGCACAAUUAGUUAAGCAAAUUUGGAAUGAUUUAUGGGUGAAUUGAUUGUUUUGUUGGUGGUGGUUAGUGGUUGGUAGCUGAAGUAGAAGAAGAAGAGGAGGACAAAAGUUCAAUCAAUAUACAGAAAAUGAGUGUGAGCAACGGUUCAGUUCAUCCUGUUGACGCACCACCGUUGCAAACAGAAGCAGCUAACGUGCCGCGAGUGAGGAUGAAGGAUGUUCAAGGAAUGCCUGGGACGGUUGGUGGAUCCUUCUUACGUUUCGCUCAGUUUGUAUUUGCUGUUGUUGCGCUUUGUGUUAUGGCUACUACCAGUGAUUUUCCUUCCGUCACAGCUUUCUGUUACCUUGUCGCUGCUGCUGGCUUGCAGAGCUUAUGGAGCUUGUCUCUAGGUAUUCUUGAUGUUUAUGCUCUUCUUGUUGGACGGUGCUUGCAGAACUCUCAGGUUGUGAGUUUAUUUGCUGUCGGUGAUGGGGUAAGUUGCUACAGGUUCAUCCAAAACUUGAUCACGUAAUAGUAGCUGUGCUAAUAAAUAAAUGAAGGGAUUAUUGAAGUAGUAUUCUUGUACGAUAAAAAAGAUGCAUAUCAACUUGUCAAACAUUCUGAUUUCUUUGUGUGAUAGAAAAAACUGUACAAUUUGGUACAAUCAGACAUGCAAGGACUUGAUACGACAGAGAAAAGCUCCCAUAACAAUCAGUUCAAUACACUAGUGCUGUGAUUUUGUAUUGUUUGAUGAGUAAAAUAUCAAAAAGUUUCAACUUUUUACCUUUCUAUUGGUAUGAAAAAGCUUAAUGCAGAUAUUUUGGAUUCUGUUAAUUUCCUAUGGAAGUUUUGCAGUUUCUUAGUGUAUUCUUGGAAUUUUUUGAUCCAUCUUUCAUCUCUUAAGAUAUAGAUAUGUGAGGUCAGACAUGAAAGUUCUUCUUUAACAUGGGUUUUUAACUCGUCCAGUUUGAUGUCCAAAUUACCAUUUAUUAAAGUUUGAUAAGUUGAUUUGUCUUUUAAAUAUCUCAUAAUGAGGUGACAUUAGAGUUACUUCUAACAGCAUAUUCCCACCCUUGGGCGGAGAUGAAACCCCAAUAAUCAAAAAGUUGUACUAUAUAUCCUAUGUCAAAAUUAGUUUUUAUCAAUAUGUAAUUGAUUUUGAAGCACAAUGCUGUUGAAUCUCCAUUGAAGAAAGAAAUGUCUUCCAUGGACAAUGUGGAUGAAAUCAAAAGGAAAUUCUCAAGUGAGCAUAGUAUCAAAGUUACUCUUUCGCCUAUAAGGAAGGCUCGUGUGUUUAUUUCUUUAUAUUUUGAAUUCUCUUGGUUAAAUCCUUGUGCCCAUUCAGCACAUUCCACUUUGUGCAUAUAACAUAAGAUUUUAAAUAAGCUCAUUGUGGAGCAUAGUCCAGAUUGUUGACUUCUUACCAUUUAUCAUCUUCAUGAAUGUCUUUCUUGCAGGUCACUUCUACCCUCAUGUUUGCUGCAGCCUGUGCUUCUGCUGGCAUUACUGUACUGAUUGGCAAUGACCUUGGUGUCUGCUCACAAAAUCACUGCUUAGAGUUCGAGACUGCUACUGCCAUGGCUUUUCUUAGCUGGUUCUGUGCUUUGCCAUCAUUUCUCUUAAACUUUUGGUCACUUGCAUCCAGGUGAAGAAAGGCUCUCAAGGAAUUAGAAACGAUGCCAAAAUAUCUUGUAAAAGUACUGCCUUUUGUUUUGAUGUUGUAAAAUUUUGUCUAGAUGAUCAAUGUCCCAGAAAAACAUGCAAUUGCUACUGCAGUGUGUAAAUACUGAUUGCGUAAAGCAGGUUAAUGUGGGUAAUUGAGCUGUGCUCUAACUCUGUUGCUGGAUAUAAAGGAUUGCACAUAAAUUGUUUGAUACUGAAAAUGCCAUCAUUUAGCCAUUCUUCCUAGCAUAUUUCACUUGGUACCUCUCCGUCUUAAUUUACGUAACACUAUUUUGAUCAAGCUUAGAGAUAGUGAAUCACUUUGUGACUAACCAGAGAUAUGAGCUAUAUAAAUUUUGACAAUAGGUAUAUGUAAUGUUAAAUCUACAGUACAUGUAAAGGUGAUCGAGUUGGUUGAACAUGAACGAAUACCACUACAUGCUUUCUAAAUCAAGCUUGAUUUAUCCAAAGGGAUAGCGGUUGUGAGUUACCUUGUAUAAAUAAUAAACUUUCUGAACUAGAAAAAAGGAAAAAU
rnacentral:lncRNA from 1 species